rnacentral:tRNA from 1 species
GCGAGAGUGGCGGAAUCGGCAGACGCGCUAGCUUGAGGGGCUAGUAUCUUUCGGGAUGUGCGGGUUCAAGUCCCGCCUUUCGCACCA